CCUACGGGAGGCAGCAGUGGGGAAUAUUGGACAAUGGGGGGAACCCUGAUCCAGCCAUGCCGCGUGUGUGAAGAAGGCCCUCGGGUUGUAAAGCACUUUCAGUGAGGAAGAACGCCUGGUGGUUAAUACCCAUCAGGAAAGACAUCACUCACAGAAGAAGCACCGGCUAACUCCGUGCCAGCAGCCGCGGUAAUACGGAGGGUGCGAGCGUUAAUCGGAAUUACUGGGCGUAAAGCGCGCGUAGGUGGCUUGAUAAGCCGGUUGUGAAAGCCCCGGGCUCAACCUGGGAACGGCAUCCGGAACUGUCAAGCUAGAGUGCAGGAGAGCAAGGUAGAAUUCCCGGUGUAGCGGUGAAAUGCGUAGAGAUCGGGAGGAAUACCAGUGGCGAAGGCGGCCUUCUGGACUGACACUGACACUGAGGUGCGAAAGCGUGGGUAGCAAACAGGAUUAGAUACCCCUGUAGUC
rnacentral:rRNA from 1 species